rnacentral:lncRNA from 1 species
UCCGCUACCUAAGUCAAAGAACAUAGCAUCCCGUUUUAGUUUGUUAGUACCAAUUCAAUUGAUAAUUCACACAAACUGCAUAUAAAUAUAACAUACUCCAAGGUUGCAAAAAUAUAUAUAUAGUCUUUGUUUGGUUCAUACCAUCUCUAGCACUUGUCCUAAUUUGUAAGUGACUGCAAGAAAAAUGAAGGGUAACUCUAUUAUAAUGGCACUAAUCAAUGAAACUUGUGUCAUAAUUUUCCUCCUCUUGGUCUCUUAUUCUAUGAAUGUUGAAGGCAUGAGAGCUAUCAAAGAUCAAUCUCCUUCUUUCAUAAAUCUAAUAAUCAGCCAAGCUUAUUCUGGACCAAGUCGCAAAGGACGUGGUCACUGAAAUUUAAAGUUGCUUUCAUGCUAAUUUUCAUUUUAUUUUUCUCUAUAGUUACGGACAUGUUCCUUGUGUUUCAAAAUAUAAGUCAAGUAGAUGUAUUUUAUACUUUAUUGUUUGUUUAUAUUUUGAGACGGAAGUAGGACAUACAUACUACAAAUAAAUAUAUAUAUUAUCUUUUGUUGUUGAUAAUUUUGUUAAAUACUGUAGGGUUGCCUGCCCAUUUAAUGUCACUCAUUUAUGCAAGGGUUCUACAA